AGUUGCAAAGGGGCGGAAAAUUUCCCGUACAUUUCCAGAAAAUUUCCAUGGGAACUUCAUCUCGGGAAUUUUGGAAAUAUUCCAAGUUGGAAACUUCACAGGAAUUUACAUGAAUUAUUUAGAAAAUUUAUAUAAACUGUAUAUACAAACAUAAACAUUUUGUUUGGUCAUAAGCUGACAUGCAAGCAAACUAAUGCACAAAUGACAUUUUUGACUUUGAUUUAAUUGUAAUUAGAACUUUAAUUAUUUUAUUGAGCAACACAAAAGCAUAAAUGUUGAAUGAAAAAAAACACGCAUUUCCUCUUGUUUGCUUUAAAACGAAAGCAUUCCCCACCCUUCCCCUUCCAAAAAAGUCCCAUUCAAAAUUGAAAUUAAAGGGGUCCUAUGAUGCUGCUAAAAAGAACAUUAUUUUGUGUAUAUGGUAUAAUGAAAUGAGUUUAUGCGGUUUAAGGUUCAAUGAACACAUUAUUUUCCACAUACUGUACAUUAUUGUUUCUCCUCUAUUUUUUACAAAGCUCAUAGCUCUGAAUAGCGAGGUGUGCUGUGAUUGGCCAGCUAUCCAGCGCAUUGUGAUUGGCCAGAUGCCUCAAGCUUGUGACAGAAAUGUUAUGCCUCUUAACAUAUUGUGAUGCCUUGUCCGGCUGGAGCGACGAGACAUACACAUAAAACCCAUUAUAAACGUGAUAUAAACAUGAUUUCUAGUCGUGUCUUCUUUUGGAAGGCCAAACAAAGUAGUUUUGCUUUCUAAAUGAAACAGCGUCACACACCGCGGCCUUGAGUGAGCAGAGGCCGGAGGUAUAGAGUGAACCGCGGAUGGCUUGAGUGAGCAGAGGCCGGAGGUCUAGAGUGAACCGCGGAUGGCUUGAGUGAGCAGAGGCCGGCAGCUUGAGGCAGAUUCUACGAAGGAGCGUACCUUGGGCUUGCAGCAACCACAUGUGGACUCCGCUUCAUCCAUGGUGAAAGCCGAUUUGGCGAUCCACAGUGCAAAGUUGAUGUAUUUCCUCAGCAACCAGCACGGAUCAGCUCCAGGCAUGAUGAAGCGGAUAUCGUCCUCUUUUGGAAGGCCAAACAAAGUAGUUUUGCUUUCACAGUGAAACACACAGUGUCUAUACGUCAUGGCGGCGGCGGCAACAACAAUACUACAACGAGAAUAAAAGGUACGCCUUCUUUCUUUGCAUGAACAUCUGGGCAGUGUUAUGCAAAUCUUCCCAAAUACUGACGUAGAUAUGUGGGGGCGUGUUAGAACGAGCCCUUUUAAGGGGGCGUGGACGAGUGUUAACUUUGAUAAAGAAUAUCUCUUUGGAUUUGAGACUUUAGUCUUUGCAACUUCACAGAUCUUAUUUAUUCACCAAGAGCUUGUAACACUCCAAAGAGAAAGGAAAUUUGAAAUCGCAUCAUAUGACCGCUUUAAAGCAUUUUCUCCCAAGCUGCUUAAGUCUCUGGUUUCUGCAUUUUCCCUCUUAAUAUAUUCAGGUCUCAUUGGCUUCUUCCUGGACCUCAUUAACAUCCUCCAUGUCUGACUCCUCUUCAUCUUCGGUGUCACUGUCCAGCCUUGUCCAGGAUGGCUCUGUGUCAGGCUCAAAGAGCCGUAGGUUUGCUCGGAUGGCCACCAGUUUCUCCUCCCUUGCAUUCGUGAGCCUGUUGCGAACCUUUGUGUGCGUGUUCCCCAACAGUGACCAGCUGCACUCAGAGGCGGCUGAUGUUGGUGGGAUUUGAAGGAUGAUAGAUGCUACAGGUGCAAGGGCCUCAGAUCCACAAAGUCCUUUCCACCAGGUAGAUGCAGAUAUGUGCUGGCACGACUGCCAUAUCCCAUCCCAUUCCCAAAGACCUUGCUUGGUACGGUACUUUGCUAGACUGCCGAGAACUUUGCCUUCAUCAAGCCCAAGACGGUGAGACAAGGCAGUAAUAACAGUGUAAGCACUGCGGAUCUCUUCAGCAGAGAGUAUGCUUUUCUCAUACUUUGGGUCCAGCAUGUAUGCUGCUGCAUGUAUUGGUUUGGUGCAGAACUCUUGGUGCUUCUCCAGGGACUUGACCACUGCAGUUUCCUCCGCUUGAAGCAGCAGGGAGGCGGGCAGGACAGUUUGCAUUUCUUCUUUGAGCUCAGCAAACAGAUAUUUAACAUCUGACAAGAUGGCAGUAUCCCCUUCUAUCUUGGCAAUAGCUGCUGCUAUUGGUUUGAGGAUUCUCAGGCUGCCAGUCACUUUUUCCCAGAACAUAUCAUCUAACAGGAUUCUCUUGAUGGCACUUUCAAUGGCUGCAGUUUGGGAUAUGGCCAUCUCUUGCAAAGACUCCUUCCCCUCUAGCAGACUGUGGUACAUGAGGACAACCCCACUCCAUCGAGUGAUGCUGGGGAGCUUCAGUGUGGCGUUCUUGUUUUUUUCUUUUUGCUUAGAGAGGUAGAUUGCUGAAGCUACCUGUUUGCCCUUCACAUAUUUCACGACUUGCUUCGCUGUCUUAUACAGUGUGUUCAUUGUAUUCAGUGCCAUGAUGUCCUUAAGGAGACGAUUAAGAGCAUGGGCAGCACAGCCAAUUGUUGUUAUGUGAGGGUAGGUCUCCUUCACGUGUGCCCAAGCAACCUUCAUGUUUGCAGCAUUGUCAGUUACAAGUGCACAAACCUUCUCAGGUCCAAGAUCACUGAUGACUGCUUUCAGCUCAUCAGCAAUGUAGGAUCCUGUGUGUCUGUUGUGCUUUGUGUCUGUGCUCUUAUAGAAUACUGGUUGAGGGGUGGUGACAAUGUAGUUGAUGAUUCCUUGUCCCCGGACAUUCGACCACCCAUCAGAGAUGACUGAAAUGCACUCUGCUUUGUCAAGGGUUUGCUUGACCUUUGCUUGCACUCUGUUGAACUCUCCAUCCAGCAAAUGAGUAGAUAAAGCAUGACUGGUGGAAGGUAUGUAUGAAGGACGAAGGACAUUUAGGAAUCUCUUCCAGUAGACAUUGGAUGUGAGCAUCAGAGGUGAGCCAGUUGCAUACAUUGCUCGAGCGAAACAUUCAUCAGCAUUUCUCUGGCUCCGUUCAUCCAUCGAGUCAAACAAUCCUCCGAUUCCAGAGUGACCGGGAGCUGACGAGAGGGUGUCUGAAUCUGAAUCAUUUUCACAUCGGAGGGAAGCAGAUGAACUCUUGUCUGGGGUUGCUUGUUUUGAGUUCUGGGAAAACUUUGGGCACUUGGCUAUAUGCUGCUGCAUCUUUGUGGCAUUCUUAACAUAGGUCUUUGCACAGUAUUUGCAACUGUACACAGCCUUUCCUUCCAGAUUGGCUGAGCGGAAAUGUAUCCACACAUGAGAUGGUGUGCGUGGCAUUGUU
ensembl:lncRNA